AUGACUUUGAUGCUUGGCUGCUCCUCAGAGUUUAAGUUCUUAUGUCGCAGAGAGUCUGAACUGUUUUCAUGCACUCACACUGAAAACUGCAUCAGGAUGAAGUUGCCAAUAACUCUGAUAGUCACUUUGGGCUUCCUGAGUCAGGAGUCUUCUGCCAACAGCUUCCUGACUCAGACUGACAAAUCCAAGUCUGUUAGUCUUGGAGGGACUGUGACAAUCAGCGCCACAGGGAGUUCAGAUAUUGAUGAUGAUCUCAGUUGGUACCUCCUGAAACCUGGACAGGCUCCCAAACUUCUGAUAUAUGGUGCAACUGAUCGAUACUCAGGAAUUCCAUCUCGAUUCAGUGGCAGUAUGUCUGGUUCAAGCUACACUCUGACCAUCAGUGGUGUUCAGGCUGAAGAUAUUGGAGAUUACUACUGUCUGGGCAGCCAUGGUGGUGGUGUGUUCACACAGUGA